ACGCUCGACACCUACGGGGGGCAGCAGUGGGGAAUAUUGGGCAAUGGGCGCAAGCCUGACCCAGCAACGCCGCGUGAAGGAAGAAGGCUUUCGGGUUGUAAACUUCUUUUGUCAGGGACGAAGACGUGACGGUACCUGACGAAUAAGCUCCGGCUAACUACGUGCCAGCAGCCGCGGUAAUCUGAGCGGGCUGGCAAGGC
rnacentral:rRNA from 1 species